rnacentral:rRNA from 1 species
AACGAACGCUGGCGGCGCGUCUUAAACAUGCAAGUCGAACGAUCUGUAGCAAUACAGGGAGUGGCGGACGGGUGAGGAACACGUAGGAAUCUACCUUGAAGAGCGGGACAACUUUGGGAAACCGGGGCUAAUACCGCAUAGUACAGAGAUGUUAAAGGGCUAGCAAUAGUCGCUUCGAGAUGAGCCUGCGGUCUAUCAGCUUGUUGGUGAGGUAAUGGCUCACCAAGGCUACGACGGAUAGCCGGUCUGAGAGGGAUGAUCGGCCACACUGGCACUGAGACACGGGCCAGACUCCUACGGGAGGCAGCAGUUAAGAAUCUUGCGCAAUGGGGGAAACCCUGACGCAGCGACGCCGCGUGAAGGAUGAAGGCUUUCGGGUUGUAAACUUCGGUAGACUGGGAAGAAGAAAUACGUUCGUUGAGGGCGUAUAGUGACGGUACCAGUCUGAAGCCCCGGCUAAUUACGUGCCAGCAGCCGCGGUAA